AUGUGUUGGUGUUAUUUUAUUUUGGUUUGCAGGUGAAUCUUGCCUUCUGCUAAACUGGUGAACCCUGAACUUGUGGCGCGGUCAGAACCAGUUGCUGAGUUGCUUGAUUUGGAUCUGAAAGAGGGUUGUCGGCUGGAUUGCUUAGGCAAGCUACAUACACAAUAGCACGACUUGGGUCAUUUAGUGGUCAACUUAUUUCAAAUAUUAAUGAUGCAUUUUGACAACGUAAUGGAUUCUGUGGUGCAUUAAAUGCUUCCAUA